rnacentral:rRNA from 1 species
UACAGAGGGGGCAAGCGUUAUUCGGAAUUAUUGGGCGUAAAGGGCGCGUAGGCGGCCGUGCAAGUGGAAGGUGAAAUCCCUCGGCUCAACCGAGGAACUGCCUUUCAAACUGCUUGGCUUGAGUCCGGGAGAGGUGAGUGGAAUUCCCAGUGUAGCGGUGAAAUGCGUAGAUAUUGGGAGGAACACCAGUGGCGAAGGCGGCUCACUGGACCGGAACUGACGCUGAGGAGCGAAAGCGUGGGGAGCGAACAGG